GCCCGGAUGGCGGAAUUGGCAGACGCGCCGGACUCAAAAUCCGGUUCCCCUUAAAGGAGUGUGGGUUCGAUCCCCACUCCGGGCACCA
rnacentral:tRNA from 1 species